UGCUGCCCAUCACUGCCUCCUUAUGCCCCUCACUGCCUCGUUAUACCCAUCACUGCCUUGUUAUACUCAUCACUGCCUCCUUAUGCCCAUCACUGCCUCAUUAUGUCCAUUGCUGCCCAUCACUGCCUCCUUACGCCCAUCACUGCUUCAUUAUGCCCCUCACCACCUUGUUAUGCCCAUCACUG
rnacentral:lncRNA from 1 species